UACGGGGGGGGCAAGCGUUGUUCGGAAUUACUGGGCGUAAAGGGCUCGUAGGCGGCCAACUAAGUCGGAUGUGAAAUCCCCAGGCUUAACCUGGGAACUGCAUCCGAUACUGGAUGGCUUGAAUCCGGGAGAGGGAUGCAGAAUUCCGGGUGUAGCGGUGAAAUGCGUAGAUAUCCGGAGGAACACCGGUGGCGAAGGCGGCUUCCUGGACCGACACUGACGCUGAGGCGCGAAAGCUAGGGGAGCAAACGGG
rnacentral:rRNA from 1 species